CAGAGACUGCAAGCGUUAUUCGGAUUCACUGGGCGUAAAGGGUGCGCAGGCGGCCAAGCGUGUUAGGCGUGAAAGCCCGGGGCUUAACUCCGGAAUUGCACCUAAAACUACAUGGCUAGAGCAUUGGAGAGGGUAGCGGAAUUCACGGUGUAGCAGUGAAAUGCGUAGAUAUCGUGAGGAACACCAGAGGCGAAGGCGGCUACCUGGACAAUUGCUGACGCUCAGGCACGAAAGCGUGGGGAGCAAAAGGGAUUAGAUACCCCUGUAGUCCACGCCCUAAACGGUGCACACUAGGUCUUGGCGGAUUCGACCCCACCAGGGCCCAAGCUAACGCGUUAAGUGUGCCGCCUGAGGACUACGGUCGCAAGACUA
rnacentral:rRNA from 1 species